GCGCCUGCGCCCCACCCCGCCCCACCCCGGCGGGGCUCGCGCGCCCGGCCCGCCUCCUGUCAAGCCGAGCGCCGCGGUCAGGUGGCCCCCGGCCCGUGGCCCGCGCCUCCUGCUUCCCCGGUCUCUCGGGUUCGGCGUCGUGUCUCCGGCAGACCGCCUUCCCGAUUGUUGUUCUUCUGCGGCUAGAGACCCAGCCGAGCUCUGGGGCCUCAGCAGAUAUCCUAAACAGAGAUCUCAGGAGCACAAUAUUCUAUAGACCUUACCUCCUCCCGAAGUUGUGGGGGUAGUUGCGUAGAUCUGCUGUGAAUCAGAUGCAGGACAAAGUUUCACUGUUACUAAAGUUCCGCCAUUUCUCCCAGACUACCUUUGAAGGACUGCAGGUACUUUGAAUAUCUUAUAUAUUCCAUGAAAGGAAUAUCAGCCUACAUUAAGUUGCUUCCGCUUCUAGAGAAAAGGAAUUUGUGACAUAAAGAAGAUUCUGACUCCAACUUACCCAGCGGAGGCUUCAGGGACCAUGUGUGUGCCUGGUGCCUACCAGAAUCAGAAGAAGGCAUUGCAUCCCCCUGAAAUUGGAGUUACAGAUGGUUGUGAGCUACCAUGUGGAUGCUAGGAAGUGAACCAAGGUCCUCUGCAAGAGCAGCAAGUGCUCUUAAUGGCUGAGCCAACUCUCCAGCCUAAGUACAACUGUCUUUGUUUCUUUUGCAAAAAGUAGGUGGGUUUUAUCUGACCAGUUUUCCUGAUCUGUGUGGACUGGAACUGGCGGGGAGUAAGGGGCUGCCAAUUAGCUGAAACUUAUUAAGUGGAGUGAAGGUGAUUGUCUAGACUAAGUGUAUUUAAUUUGGUUUGUACUAAGAACGUGAGUCCCACUGAGGUAGUGUUUGUUUGUUGGUUUGUUUUUAGUUGACAUUUAGACACGUAUCUCUUCCCUAGAGGCCUCCACAAUCUAGUCUGUGGAAUUCCAUUUUCGUGCAAUUCCUGUGUCUAUGAUGAAACACAAAUAUAAGAAUGAAAAGGGACACUUUUAAACAGACCCGUAUCCUCAAAGCGUUUGUCUGUAAUCAUUUAGAACGUGAAGUAAAUGGAGAUUUUACUAUCUUCUUCAGCUGUCCUUUCGUCUGCUGGCUUUCUCCCUGCUCACUGUAGACUUCUCUUAUGAAAGAACUCUGUGUUAGCUACAUGAAGUGUAAAUGAAGGGUAGUACUGUUUUUAAUGACCAAAGAGAAGACAUAUGCAAGUCUUAAUCAAAGUAUAUGAUGUUAUGGCAUAAUGAUGAUUCUGAAACUGGUGGGGUCAAUGUGCAAUGAACUCAGUAUCCUCCUGUUUCUACCACUCAAGCCCUGAGAUUACUGGUAUAUGACACAUGUCCACUUUUAAAAUUAGUUUUCUAACUGGUGCUGAUUAUGUUAUUAAUAUUUUUUUGAGUUCUUAUUCAGAAUCUUUUCCUCUUUGUCGAUGUUACUGAGCAUCAUGAAUGAACUUUUUUUUGUUGUUGUUGUUUAGUUUUUGAGACAGGUUGAACCUUCUAGCCCAGGCUGACCUCAUAUGCCAGAUAGUCCCCUUGCCUCCACCUCUUUAGAUGAUAUUUUAAGUCAGAGCCACCAUGCCCUUCCAUAAAUAAAUUUAAUCCAAGAUAUUAAUUAUCCUAUGGUAUUUAUUAUGCCAAAUAAUUUCUAGGUUUUAAAAAGAUUAGAAUGUCUUUUUAAUGAGUAUUUGUUAGAAUAUUGUACACAUUUUAUAUAAUAUUCUUCCUAUAACAGUGCCCCCCUGAGAUCAAGAGUGCAGAGAUCAGGAGUGUGAGGAUCAGGAGCACAGAGAUCAGGAGUUUGGAGAUGGGGAGUAUGGAGGUCUGGAGUACAGAGAGCAGGAGCACAGAGAUGGUAAGUAUGAAGAACUGAGUGUGGAGAUCAGAAGUAUGAUUGAGAUUAAGGAGACAGAGAGUACUGAGAUCAGAUCCAGAGUAUGAGAGAUUGGGAGAACAGAGAUUGGGAGUCUCUGUUGUUCAACUAAGACAUUGAUAUGCUUCAUUCUCAAUAAGUCUGAAUAAAUAAUAAGCGAAUGCCAUUUUCAAAGCAAAGUGCACAGAAUGAAGAGACUGGACUAACAGUCUUUAUUCAGCUAACACCGGGAGAUUUAAUUCCCACCCCAGGCUUCAAUUUCCUCAGCUAAACUGGUUUUAGUUACUUUCUCUUGUCCACUCCUGUAUUUCUAAAUUUGGGUUAAGCAGACAGAGAAAUGGUGGAGAACCAUAGAGACAGAGCAGACAGAGCCACAGGGAGUAGAGGCCCCUCUGAGCACAAAGCAAGAGUGUUCAAAUCUUUGCUCGGUCCUGGUGCGACUUGAUAAGCUAGGCUGCAUGGAGAGGGGUUCUCCCCUUCUCUGAGGAGUAGGGGAAGGGAGAUAGUGGGGAUAGGGAGGGAGGGAGAGACCGGGAGGAGAGGAGGGUGGGGGCUACAACCAAUGUAAAGUGAAUAAAAGAAAAUCUGUUAUUUAGGCAUUGAUCUGGGUACAUCUGUUGCACUGUCAAAUGCUCGCUCUUAGUUUCUUCCUCUUAGAUCGAGUCUGACUCUUUCAUACAUCAAUAGCAUGUUUUAGAAAUAUAAUACCUUGGUGAGCACAACAGGCCAAUAUUGUGAGAAGACCAUGGUUUGUCUUUGAUUUUUCAACUCAGAAGUGAUGCUACUUCUAGAAGUGCUGAGGUGGUUUUACUUUUUUAUUUUUCUUUUUUUUCCUACAUGAAAGAUUUUCUUUUUCUCCAGAUCACAGUUGUAACCCUUUCAGCAUAGUAGGCAAAUAAGAGCCAUAAUUACCAUCCGGUUGUUCUGAAAAGAAAAAUUCUUCAUGAGUGAUUAAGUGGGUAUCAUCCCAGGGGGCUGCAAAUGAUAGCCGAAGGACUCAUAGAUCCAGGAGUGCACACAUGCACAUGCAAAUAACCAAGGGGGCACACAAGCUUAGCGAAGCAUUCCUUUACUCAGCAGCCUCAGAUGUUCUUGGCGCUGCCCAUCACCAUUUGCAUUACUUCUUGUUCCUUCCCUGCUUGCUGAAAAGGAAUAGAAGAAUUCAGCAUGCUGCCUCCACAACAUUAGAGACAUCAGUGCUCUGAGCAUGAAGGAACAAAACUUUAAGGGUUUAUCUAAUGGUGGCCAGAAAGAUAGGUUUUGGAGGAACCCUAGAAUACAUGUUGUAGGUAUCAUGUACUUUGUGUUAGGAUGCUGGAUCUCCAAUCAGAGCACUUAGCACAAAGAGUGAUAAUGAGCUUGGCACCUGACUAUCCCUUCAACCCCGGCACGUGGAAGGCUGAGAGCAGAAGGGUCCUGAGUUAGAGGCCAACCUGAACUAGAUAGGGAGUCCCUAUGUCUAAAAACAAAACAAAACAAAACAAAACAAAACAAAACAAAACAAAAAUACCAAAAACAAACGAACAAACAAAACCCAAUGACAAUAAUAGCAACUUCUGUUUCACAUCAGAAUGAGUUUUAUCUACAUGUUUAAGUUAAAAUCAAUGUUUUUCAUAUACAUGAAAAAGUUACUAUUUCACUACAAUAGUAAUCUGCUACUAUAAAGAAAAGCAGAAUCACACAGAAAACAUGUGUGUUCUCUACCCUAUGGUGACUAAGUGGUGACAUUUCAAAAUUCCUCAGGAGUAAAGACAAUUUGCUGUUGACUUCAGAUCCAGCUGCACUCUCUCCUCUGCAGAGAGCUAUUCUAUUUAGGAAUCGGCUUCUUCUUUUUUUUUUUCAUAGCUAGCUGGCAUCAUACUAACCACUGAGAGAAAUCAGCAUCAUGAGGGCAUGCUGAGGCUCACACCUGAAACAGAACCCAGGUACUGGGUAGGAAUUGAGUUAGAAAGAGCCAGCAUUUCCUGUCUUUUCAAGCCGGACCAUUUAGCUCCCUAGGACCAGGUUCCCUGUAACUGCCUCUGACCCUGCUUUGAGAGUUAUAGAUCUACCUCCAUCUCUUUAGUUUUGUGGGACCAAGAAGCCAGUCUCAGUCUGUGCCAAUAAAUCUUCUCUACAAGCUGCUGCAUCUCUGAUGUCUAUCAUCUGUCUUUCUGGUACUUCUCCUGUUGUCAAUACCUGAUUCCUAACACAUCUCUCUAAGUUUGGGUUUACACAUGUUAACGCUGUGGGACCUUCAUGCUACCCUCCUAAUAACCUUUUGCCUAUUUACUCUCCUGUGUCAAACAACCAGAAGAAAAGCAGACAAAAUACAUGAAACAACCCUCCUCAAGACCUUAGAUGCCAUGUGAUGGGUGACAGGGAUUCCCAAGAGAUGGGAAACAAAUGGGUGGUCCUAUUCUGGCCACAGUGUAUUGCCUUGAGACA